GAUGAACGCUGGCAGCGUGCCUAAUACAUGCAAGUCGAGCGAACGGACGAGAAGCUUGCUUCUCUGAUGUUAGCGGCGGACGGGUGAGUAACACGUGGAUAACCUACCUAUAAGACUGGGAUAACUUCGGGAAACCGGAGCUAAUACCGGAUAAUAUUUUGAACCGCAUGGCUCAAAAGUGAAAGACGGUCUUGCUGUCACUUAUAGAUGGAUCCGCGCUGCAUUAGCUAGUUGGUAAGGUAACGGCUUACCAAGGCAACGAUGCAUAGCCGACCUGAGAGGGUGAUCGGCCACACUGGAACUGAGACACGGUCCAGACUCCUACGGGAGGCAGCAGUAGGGAAUCUUCCGCAAUGGGCGAAAGCCUGACGGAGCAACGCCGCGUGAGUGAUGAAGGUCUUCGGAUCGUAAAACUCUGUUAUUAGGGAAGAACAUAUGUGUAAGUAACUGUGCACAUCUUGACGGUACCUAAUCAGAAAGCCACGGCUAACUACGUGCCAGCAGCCGCGGUAAUACGUAGGUGGCAAGCGUUAUCCGGAAUUAUUGGGCGUAAAGCGCGCGUAGGCGGUUUUUUAAGUCUGAUGUGAAAGCCCACGGCUCAACCGUGGAGGGUCAUUGGAAACUGGAAAACUUGAGUGCAGAAGAGGAAAGUGGAAUUCCAUGUGUAGCGGUGAAAUGCGCAGAGAUAUGGAGGAACACCAGUGGCGAAGGCGACUUUCUGGUCUGUAACUGACGCUGAUGUGCGAAAGCGUGGGGAUCAAACAGGAUUAGAUACCCUGGUAGUCCACGCCGUAAACGAUGAGUGCUAAGUGUUAGGGGGUUUCCGCCCCUUAGUGCUGCAGCUAACGCAUUAAGCACUCCGCCUGGGGAGUACGACCGCAAGGUUGAAACUCAAAGGAAUUGACGGGGACCCGCACAAGCGGUGGAGCAUGUGGUUUAAUUCGAAGCAACGCGAAGAACCUUACCAAAUCUUGACAUCCUUUGACAACUCUAGAGAUAGAGCCUUCCCCUUCGGGGGACAAAGUGACAGGUGGUGCAUGGUUGUCGUCAGCUCGUGUCGUGAGAUGUUGGGUUAAGUCCCGCAACGAGCGCAACCCUUAAGCUUAGUUGCCAUCAUUAAGUUGGGCACUCUAAGUUGACUGCCGGUGACAAACCGGAGGAAGGUGGGGAUGACGUCAAAUCAUCAUGCCCCUUAUGAUUUGGGCUACACACGUGCUACAAUGGACAAUACAAAGGGCAGCGAAACCGCGAGAUCAAGCAAAUCCCAUAAAGUUGUUCUCAGUUCGGAUUGUAGUCUGCAACUCGACUACAUGAAGCUGGAAUCGCUAGUAAUCGUAGAUCAGCAUGCUACGGUGAAUACGUUCCCGGGUCU
rnacentral:rRNA from 1 species